rnacentral:rRNA from 1 species
GACGAACGCUGGCGGCGUGCUUAACACAUGCAAGUCGAACGGACAGGCGCUGCUUUUGUGGGGUGCUCGAGUGGCGAACGGGUGAGUAACACGUGAGUAUCCUGCCCUUGACUUUGGGAUAACUUCAGGAAACUGGGGCUCAUACCGGAUAGAAGCUCUUGCUGCGCGUGGGGGAUUGGAGAGUUUCGGCGGUUGGGGCUGGUCGCGAGGCUUAUCAGCUGGAUGGGGGGGUAGGUGCUUACGAGGGUUUUGAAGGGUAGCCGGCCUGGGAGGGUGACCAGCCACAUGGGGACUGCGAUACGGAGCAGAAGGCUACGGGAGGCAGUAGUGGAGAAUAUUGCAGAACGGGGGGAAGUCUGAUGCAGAAGCGUCGGGUGCGUGAUGCCCGCCUUCUGGUUAUAAACCGAUUUGUAAGGUGAUAAAGCGUGCGUGACGGUAAUGAGUAAGAAAGCAACGGCUAACUACGUG